CAUUAGAUGACUGAAAGCAAGUCGUGGUCUCUUAAACCAUAAUAGUAAUUAGCAAUUACUUCUAAUGA
rnacentral:tRNA from 1 species